GACGAACGCUGGCGGCGUGCCUAAUACAUGCAAGUAGAACGCUGACGGUCGGGCUUCCUUGGCUGGAUGAUUUGCGAACGGGUGAGUAACGCGUACUUAACCUGCAUGGCACCGGGGGACAUCUGCUAGUAACGAUUGCUCAUACCGCAUAACAGUCGAUCUCGCGUGGUAUCUACUUGCAAGUUGCAAUUUCAUCGCUACCAGAUGGACUCACGUUGUAUUAGCUAGUUGGUGAGUUAACGGCUCACCUCGGCGACGCUAGAUAGCCGACCUGCGAGGGUGAGCGGACACGCUGGGACGGGGACACGGCCCAGACUCCUACGAGUGGCAGCAGGAGGGAAUCUUCAGGAAUGGACGGAAGGCUGACCAAGCAACGCCGCGUGAGAGAAGAAGGUAGUCGGGUCGUGAAGCUCUGUAGUACGAGAGGAACGAGAGUGAGAGUGGAAAGGGCACACUGUGACGGUACCUGAGCAGUAAGCGACGGCUAACUACGUG
rnacentral:rRNA from 1 species